rnacentral:rRNA from 1 species
UGAAUACGAGACGCUACGGCGUCGAAGCAGUCUAUGUCAGACUUCCAAGAAAAGCUCGCAAUGUCAUAAACAAAUAAUGCCUGUACCAUAACCGACACAGGUGGGUAGGUAGAGUAUACUAAGGGGCGCGAGAUAACUCUCUCUAAGGAACUCGGCAAAAUGGCUCCGUAACUUCGGGAGAAGGAGUGCCUUAUUUAUAAGGUUGCAAUAACAAGAUCCAAGCAACUGUUUAUCAAAAACACAGGUCUCCGCUAAGUCGUAAGACGAUGUAUGGGGGCUGACGCCUGCCCAGUGCCAGAAGGUUAAAGAAGUUGGUUAGCAUUCGCGAAGCUGAUAACUGAAGCCCUGGUGAACGGCGGCCGUAACUAUAACGGUCCUAAGGUAGCGAAAUUCCUUGUCGGGUAAGUUCCGACCCGCACGAAAGGCGUAAUGAUUUGGAUACUGUCUCGGAGAGGGGCUCGGUGAAAUAGACUUGUCUGUGAAGAUGCGGACUACCUGCACCUGGACAGAAAGACCCUAUGAAGCUUUACUGUAACUUGAAAUUGAAAUUGGACUUUAUUUGCGCAGCAUAGGUGGGAGGCGUUGAGAGUAUUCUUGCGGGAAUAUUGGAGCCAUCAGUGAGAUACCACUCUUGUAAUGUUAGAUUUCUAACUUUGUAUCAUUAUCUGGUCAAAGAACAGUUUCAGGCGGGCAGUUUGACUGGGGCGGUCGCCUCCCAAACGGUAACGGAGGCGUACAAAGGUUUCCUCUGAACGGGUAGAAAUCGUAUCUAGAGUGUAAAGGCAUAAGGAAGCUUGACUGUGAGACCUACAAGUCGAGCAGGGACGAAAGUCGGUCUUAGUGAUCUGACGGUGCUGAGUGGAAAGGCCGUCACUCAACGGAUAAAAGUUACUCUAAGGAUAACAGGCUGAUCUCCCCCAAGAGCUCACAUCGACGGGGAGGUUUGGCACCUCGAUGUCGGCUCAUCGCAUCCUGGGGCGGUAGUACGUCCCAAGGGUUGGGCUGUUCGCCCAUGAAAGCGGUACGCGAGCUGGGUUCAGAACGUCGUGAGACAGUUCGGUCCAUAUCCGGUGUAGGCGUUAGAAUAUUGAGAGGAGCCUUCUUUAGUACGAGAGGACCGAGAAGGACAUACCUCUGGUGUACCAGUUAUCGUGCCAACGGUAAACGCUGGGUAGCUAUGUAUGGAGAGGAUAACCGCUGAAAGCAUCUAAGUGGGAAGCCCACCUCAAGAUAAGUAUUCUCAUA